rfam:Myotis lucifugus cont2.43092, whole genome shotgun sequence.
GGCAGUUCUCAGGUGAUGCACACUGGAAUCGGGCUCCCUCCUCUCUUGUUCCAGGUGUGUCACCUGAGAAUCACA